AUUGAACGCUGGCGGCAGGCCUAACACAUGCAAGUCGAGCGAGCGGCGGACGGGUGAGUAAUGUCUGGGAAACUGCCUGAUGGAGGGGGAUAACUACUGGAAACGGUAGCUAAUACCGCAUACCAUCAGAUGUGCCCAGAUGGGAUGAGCUAGUAGGUGGGGUAACGGCUCACCUAGGCGACGAUCCCUAGCUGGUCUGAGAGGAUGCCCAGCCACACUGUAAGUGAGGCACGGUCCAGACUCUUGCGGGAGGAAGCAGUGGGGAAUAGUGCACAAUGGGCGCGAGCCUGAUACAGCCAUGCCGCGUGUAUGAAGAAGGCCUUCGGGUUGUAAAGCGCUUUCAGCGGGGAUGCGUUACCCUCAGAAGAAGCACCGGCUAACUCCGUGCCAGCAGCCGCGGUAAUUC
rnacentral:rRNA from 1 species